AACGACCACAGGAAGUGACAUCAGAUUGGAGGAGCAGUUAGUGACAGUGUUUCACCUCACAUCAUGUCUGCUCCAACUAAACAGAGUUAUCUUCAGGUUCAAUAGAGGACACAUCAGAAUCAUCAUAGAAAUGUCUCUGGGCUCUGUGGUCAUUCUUUACUCACUUUAUUGAAGUACUGUAUAUGUCCUUCUUACAAUGCACCCUAGUCGUGGAGCAACUGGAAAUGAAUGUGGCAGGGCAGAAAUUGGACGAGGAGAUAUCAUGGAUUAGGACAGAGCGAGAGCCUGUCUCCUUCAGCUGCAAAGACAAUGAUCAGUGUACAACGCAUGUCUCCUGGUACCAGAAGAAGGAGGGAGAACAUUUUACCUUGAUUCUUGAGCUGUGACUGAAUCAAGCUGUGAAUUAAUGAAAAAGAAAGUGUUCUGCACCACAGGAAGUGACAUUGUCAGAGGAACUGUUUGAGACGACACACUCCAGCUGGUUUUUCACCUCUCAUCUUCAUAAUCGACUCUAUGAUCCAAACCAUACUUCAGUAAAGAUCUGUUAAAUCAGUCUGAUGUUCAGUGCUUUGGAGCUUUUCAUUUCCCCAAAUCUUAAGCACAUAUUCACUGAACAUGGACUGUGGUAUAACAAUAUUCUCUCUUUUUCUGGUGGCUGCUUCAGGACAACGGCUGCAACAGGACCAGAUAUCAAAGACUAGGAGAGAGAAACAGAGUGUCUCCUUCGGCUGCAAAGUUACUGGUUCGUGCUUUGGUAACCUGGUCCACUGGUACCAGAAGAGAGAGGGUGAACCCUUUUCUUGGAUUCUAUACUUUGAUUUCGAUGACAAUUCUGACAGCCGUGCUACCACUCAUCCUCAGAGAGCAGAUUUCUCUGUUAGGGGGGAGUCUGACUCCAGUAAUCUUAUGAUCAAGUCCGUUAAAGUGUCCCAUUCUGCCACCUACUACUGUGCCUGCUGGGUCUCGGGAACCCACAGUGAGAACUGAUCCACACAGCCUGUACAAAAACUCUGUGGUUUUAAUCAAGCUUUGUAUUCAUGAAAAGGUUCCUUACCACAGUAAGUGACAUAAGAGUUUUGAGUGUAGCGUCUUCUUCAAAUCCAAAGUGAAAUGCAAUUAUAAAAGGAAUUAUAAAUAAAUGAACAAGAUGUCUUGCCAAUGAGCAAACAGUGUCUAAACUGCAUCUUCUUGAUGUGUCCUGCAUACGGACAUUGUGUGCAGAGGUUGGACAGAGGAUUGUGUGCUUUUUAGGUAUAUAUGGGUAUAACAGUCAGAAUAACCUAUUUACAUAAGUAUUCAGACGUUUGCUAUGAGACUCAAAAUUGAGCUCAGGUGCAUCC
rnacentral:lncRNA from 1 species